rnacentral:rRNA from 1 species
UACGAAGGGGGCUAGCGUUGCUCGGAAUCACUGGGCGUAAAGGGUGCGUAGGCGGGUCUUUAAGUCAGGGGUGAAAUCCUGGAGCUCAACUCCAGAACUGCCUUUGAUACUGGUUGGCUUGAGACCGGAAGAGGUAAGUGGAACUGCGAGUGUAGAGGUGAAAUUCGUAGAUAUUCGCAAGAACGCCAGUGGCGAAGGCGGCUUACUGGUCCGGUUCUGACGCUGAGGCGCGAAAGCGUGGGAGCAAACAGG